rnacentral:tRNA from 1 species
GCAGGGGUCGCAUAGUCUGGUCAAUUGCGUCGGGCUUAGGACCCGAUGGCUUAGUGCCUUCGAGAGUUCAAAUCUCUCCCCCUGCA